UACGUAGGGUGCAAGCGUUGUCCGGAAUUAUUGGGCGUAAAGAGCUCGUAGGCGGUUUGUCGCGUCUGCUGUGAAAACUCAGGGCUUAACCCUGAGCUUGCAGUGGGUACGGGCAGACUAGAGUGCGGUAGGGGAGACUGGAAUUCCUGGUGUAGCGGUGAAAUGCGCAGAUAUCAGGAGGAACACCGGUGGCGAAGGCGGGUCUCUGGGCAGAUACCGACGCUGAGGCACGAAAGCUAGGGGAGCAAACAGG
rnacentral:rRNA from 1 species